GAAUAAUAUUUUUCAUUUUUUAUUUUGAUUUUUUUUUUCAAAUUUUGUAUUGUUUUUGUAGGAAUUGGAAUAUAUACGAGAUUUCAAUUAUUGAUUCGAUUUUUAAUUUUCAAUUUUAUUUUUUUGGCUAACUAUUACAUUUAUAAUAUAAUAUCCGUUUUUCGUUUCACCUUUUGUUCUAUUUAACUGUCUUUUUGCCUCGUUUAACAAUAUUUCAUUUUACAGCUGUUAGCAGAAUGUAAGAUUAGUAAGUUCUUGAUCCUCUCUACUAAAACAUACAUACUAAGAUUGUACAUUUGAAUUUUCUCAUUCAGUUGGUAAUUGUAUAUGAUUUACGGUGUGCAGAUAUUCAAAGUCAAUACCGAUGAAUAACUGGUUUUCGGCAUUGUUGAUGAGAAGGACAGAGGAUGUACUAGGAAGUGAGGAAUGUAGAAAUAACCCGGGGUUUGGAGCAUGUUGGAUGCUGCGUGUUUGUGCAUACACUUCUUGUACAUGACUAGGAUUUCGACUUCCGUUGUAUCAUUCGUGGUGACAGUGUUAGUAUGCUGACGGGUAUCGGAUCAUUACAAAAAAAGAAAGAAAGAAAAAACCCUUUAGAAAUGAGAACUGUCUUAGGUUAUUAUUGUACGUUAUUGGUAGUCAUUUGAAGAGUAGAAGAUCAUGAUAACGAAAGGGAAUGAGUUGGGUUCGUAUGACAAGCUUAGUGCAUUUUUUUACCACCUUUUGCGCAAUUCAUUUCUUGGUCUUCUCAUAAAAGUUAAGCAAGAGUAGCUGAAAAAAAUAAAUAGUAUGUUUUGCAUCAUGAGAAAAACAGAAAACUGCGAUGAUUUUGUGUCAAGUUGAUCGGUGCAGAAUUUGUGCAUAUAGAAUAUCUUGUUAUGUGCAUUCUUGGUGUGAGUUUCGAGCUAUUGAAGUUAUUUUAUUU